rnacentral:lncRNA from 1 species
AUCUGUGUAUCUAGCGAGACGGGAGAAAGUGGUCAUUUUAGAACAAGCCACCACAAGCCAGACAAAGGAAACCAAGAGAAUUUGCCAGUAGCAGAUAUACCCUCACUAGCAGAUAUACCCUAAAUGAAUGGCAAAGGAAGUCCUCUAUAACCAGAAGAAAAAGGAUUGAAAAAAGGAGUCUUAGAACACCAGGAAGAAAAGAAGAAUAAUGGAAAAAGCAAAAAUGGCAAGUUGAGCAGUGAAGUGGCAGCCUGCUGUGUUGGGGUGAUGGCCUCACUUUUGUCAUAUUAAUGUGAGAUACAUAAGCAGAGUCUCACUGUGUCGCCCAGGCUGGAGUGCAACGGCGCGAUCUCAGCGGCUCACUGCAACCUCAGCCUCCUGGUUCAAGCAAUUCUCCUGCCUCAGCCUCCUGAGUAGCUGGGAUUGCAGAUGCGCACCAGUAUUAUCACAAUUUAAAAAAGGGUUUUGUAAAAUAUUAACUCUCAAUCUCCACUAAACCUAAAACAUCUCAUAUACACUCUAAUAUCAAAAAACAAAUGGUUUAACUGUAUUUAAACAGUGGGAAUAAACAUAGAGAGGUCAUUAUGUCAAUAUCAAGUUCACUCUAAUGUGUGAGUAAAUUUUAUGAUUAAGAAGUGUUGUCUAAUUGUUUUCUAAGGCAGUGGGACUCACCUAGCACAGCUGUGAAAAUUCCACAUCUUUUCACACUGAAGUUUAAAUUGAAAAAUAGAGGCCAUGUAAGUUUAUGAAGUAUGGUGAUAAAGUUAUUUCGUGACCGUUUUUUUUAAAUGUCUAUCAAUGGAAAUACUGUAACUGAUGUGGUGGUAAUAUUUAGCUACCAGAAAAAAACCAUGGCUAAGCCUUAUGAAUAUUAUCACUUCUCCCUGUAUAGGCCUGCACUGGAAAAGUCAUUCAUUCAACUACAGUAUUACACCUCUCAUGGUAACCAUUACUGGAGGCUGAUUCUUUACCUCUCCACCUCCUUUAAUCUGUAACAAGAGAGUGAUGGCUACAAUUCCACAGACUUUAAACACUGGUCAGCAUUUAAGUUUUUCUUCUAUCUUUCAGGAGGCACUAAGAACAUAUUUUGCACAAAAAACACUAAUAAGAUUGCAGAAUAAAAGUCUCAAUCAUGCAUAUAUUCUUUCCCCACUUCUUUUACUCUUCUGUUGAGUUAGUGCUUAAAACAAAAUACCGCACCUUUCUCCAUCAAUUUCCUCCAUGAAAUUCAAAGUAUUCAGGUGAGGAUAGGUUAUUUUCACAUCCAGCCUGUGUAUCUCGCUGCAUCAUGAGAAGCUCAGCUGCUGCUGUUGUUUUGUUUUUGUCUGAAGGCAGGAUGUGUUUGAUUCUCUUUUUAAAGUUACUCAAGAGAAAAUGUUGACUGCUGUAAUAAAAAUCUGGAUGAAAUUGUAGUACAAUGUGUUCUGAGACUCAUACUCUAGGAAAUGUAUGCAGAGUACACUGAGAUUAAUAAAUGAAGUGGAAAAAUCUUCUAUAUUAAAAUGUU